CCUACGGGAGGCUGCAGUGGGGAAUAUUGGACAAUGGGCGAAAGCCUGAUCCAGCCAUGCCGCGUGUGUGAAGAAGGCCUUCGGGUUGUAAAGCACUUUCAGUGGGGAAGAAAGCCUUGGGGCUAAUACCCUCGAGGAAGGACAUCACCCACAGAAGAAGCACCGGCUAACUCCGUGCCAGCAGCCGCGGUAAUACGGAGGGUGCGAGCGUUAAUCGGAAUUACUGGGCGUAAAGCGCGCGUAGGCGGUCUGAUAAGCCGGUUGUGAAAGCCCCGGGCUCAACCUGGGAACGGCAUCCGGAACUGUCAGGCUAGAGUGCAGGAGAGGAAGGUAGAAUUCCCGGUGUAGCGGUGAAAUGCGUAGAGAUCGGGAGGAAUACCAGUGGCGAAGGCGGUCUUCUGGACUGACACUGACGCUGAGGUGCGAAAGCGUGGGUAGCAAACAGGAUUAGAUACCCCGGUAGUC
rnacentral:rRNA from 1 species